CCUACGGGGGGCAGCAGUGGGGAAUAUUGGGCAAUGGGCGCAAGCCUGACCCAGCAACGCCGCGUGAAGGAAGAAGGCUUUCGGGUUGUAAACUUCUUUUCUGAGGGACGAAGAAAGUGACGGUACCGCAGGAAUAAGCCACGGCUAACGACGGGCCAGCAGCCGCGGUAAUACGUAGGUGGCAAGCGUUAUCCGGAUUUAUUGGGUGUAAAGGGCGUGGAGGCGGGAAAGCAAGGCAGAUGGGAAAACUCAGGGCUCAACCCUGAGCCUGCAUUUGAAACGGUUUUUCUUGAGUGCUGGAUAGGCAAUCGGAAUUCCGUGUGUAGCGGUGAACUGCGUAGAUAUACGGAGGAACACCAGUGGCGAAGGCGGCUUGCUGGACAGUAACUGACGCUGAGGCGCGAAAGCGUGGGGAGCAAACAGGAUUAGAUACCCCAGUAGUC
rnacentral:rRNA from 1 species